AUUUUGGAACUGAGGGGCCUUCAGUGUCAAUUCCGUGUCUCCUAACGUAGGACUUCACUCCAGAGAAAAAAACACCUGCCAGAGCUACACGACGGGCACCUGCCGGAGGGUGGAAGAAAAAGAAAAUCGAAUCGGCCUCCGACUCGGAGAGCAAGGCAGACUCCGAGGAGGAGGAGGACGAGGAGGAGGAGGACAACGACAACAACCGCGAGGGCAACCGGCCACUCACUCCCAAGUCCGAGUCUGACUCCAACUCAGAUGAAUCCGUCAAGAAGCCCUCCCGCGGCAGGAAGCCAGCUGCCGAAAAGCCGCCUCCCAAGCCCCGGGGCCGGAAACCUAAACUCGAGAGGCUUCCUAGCACCUCCAGCAGUGACAGCGACAGCGACGUGGACCGCAUCAGCGAGUGGAAACGGCGGGACGAGGAGCGCCGGCGAGAACUGGAGGAGAAGCGGAAGCGCGAGCAGGAGCAGGAGCUACGCCGGUUGCGGGAACAGGAGCGGGAGGAGAAGGAGCGGAAGCGGGAGAAAGCCGAGAAGGAGGCAGAGGGCGCGGAGAGCGACAGCAGCGCGGACAGCGAAGCCCCCAGGAGGAGCAAGAAGGGGCACCUCAAGGCAGCCCCCUCUUCUUCGGACUCAGAGACAGAGAAAGAGGUGAGCGGGGGAGGGGCUGGUCUCCAGGGUCCGGAUCUUAGCCAGAACUUCAGUUCUG
rnacentral:lncRNA from 1 species